rnacentral:rRNA from 1 species
CGUAAACGAUGAGUGCUAAGUGUUGGAGGUUUCCCCUUCAGUGCUGCAGCUAACGCAUUAAGCACUCCGCUGGGGAGUACGACCGCAAGGUUGAAACUCAAAGGAAUUGACGGGGGCCCGCACAAGCGGUGGAGCAUGUGGUUUAAUUCGAAGCAACGCGAAGAACCUUACCAGGUCUUGACAUCCUUUGACCACUCUAGAGAUAGAGCUUUCCCUUCGGGGACAAAGUGACAGGUGGUGCAUGGUUGUCGUCAGCUCGUGUCGUGAGAUGUUGGGUUAAGUCCCGCAACGAGCGCAACCCUUAUUGUUAGUUGCCAUCAUUCAGUUGGGCACUCUAGCGAGACUGCCGGUGACAAACCGGAGGAAGGUGGGGAUGACGUCAAAUCAUCAUGCCCCUUAUGACCUGGGCUACACACGUGCUACAAUGGGAAGUACAACGAGUCGCUAGGCCGCGAGGUCAUGCAAAUCUCUUAAAGCUUCUCUCAGUUCGGAUUGCAGGCUGCAACUCGCCUGCAUGAAGCCGGAAUCGCUAGUAAUCGCGGAUCAGCACGCCGCGGUGAAUACGUUCCCGGGCCUUGUACACACCGCCCGUCACACCACGAAAGUUUGUAACACCCGAAGUCGGUGAGGUAACCUUUUGGAGCCAGCCGCCUAAGGUGGGAUAGAUGAUUGGGGUGAAGUCGUAACAAGGUAACCAAGGGCGAAUUCCAG